UGGGGAAUAUUGUACAAUGGGCGAAAGCCUGAUGCAGCGACGCCGCGUGAGGGAUGACGGCCUUCGGGUUGUAAACCUCUUUCAGCAGGGACGAAGCGCAAGUGACGGUACCUGCAGAAGAAGCACCGGCUAACUACGUGCCAGCAGCCGCGGUAAUACGUAGGGUGCAAGCGUUGUCCGGAAUUACUGGGCGUAAAGAGUUCGUAGGCGGUUUGUCGCGUCGUUUGUGAAAACCAGUAGCUCAACUGCUGGCUUGCAGGCGAUACGGGCAGAGUUGAGUACUGCAGGGGAGAGUGGAAUUCCUGGUGUGGCGGUGAAAUGCGAAGAUAUCAGGAGGAACACCGGUGGCGAAGGCGGGUCUCUGGGCAGUAACGGACGCUGAGGAGCGGAAGCGUGGGUAGCGAACAGG
rnacentral:rRNA from 1 species